GCUGAUGUGCUGUAGUGGUUUCAGUUUUAGACUAGAAAUCUGGGAAGCCAAAGUUCAAAUCCCUGCUGAGCA